rnacentral:rRNA from 1 species
CGCGUAGGCGGCCGCCUAAGUCAGACGUGAAAUCCCUCGGCUCAACCGGGGAACUGCGUCUGAUACUGGGUGGCUUGAAUCCGGGAGAGGGAUGCGGAAUUCCAGGUGUAGCGGUGAAAUGCGUAGAUAUCUGGAGGAACACCGGUGGCGAAGGCGGCAUCCUGGACCGGCAUUGACGCUGAGGCGCGAAAGCCAGGGAGCAAACG